rnacentral:rRNA from 1 species
AGAGUUUGAUCCUGGCUCAGAAUAAACGCUGGCGGCGUGCCUAACACAUGCAAGUCGAGCGAGAAAGGCCUUCGGGCUGAGUACAGCGGCGAACGGGUGAGAAACGCGUGGGAAUCUACCUUUCAGUGGAGAAUAUCCUCGAGAAAUCGAGGUUAAUACUGCAUACGUCUUGAAAAAGAGAAAGAUGGCCUCUUUGCUGU